rnacentral:rRNA from 1 species
GACGAACGCUGGCGGCGUGCUUAACACAUGCAAGUCGAACGGUGAAGCGCUUGCCUUUUUGGUGGGUGUGGAUGAGUGGCGAACGGGUGAGUAACACGUGAGUAACCUGCCCUCUUCUUCUGGAUAACCUCAUGAAAGUGGGGCUAAUACGGGGUAUUCCGGGUCUGUCGCAUGGCGGGUUUGGGAAAGAUUGCGCCUUUGGGUGUUUUCGGUGGGGGAUGGGCUCGCGGCCUAUCAGCUUGUUGGUGGGGUGAUGGCCUACCAAGGCGGUGACGGGUAGCCGGCCUGAGAGGGUGGACGGCCACACUGGGACUGAGACACGGCCCAGACUCCUGCGGGAGGCAGCAGUGGGGAAUAUUGCACAAUGGGCGCAAGCCGGAUGCAGCGACGCCGCGUGAGGGAUGGAGGCCUUCGGGUUGUGAACCUCUUUCGCCAGUGAAGCAGGCCUGCUCCUGUGUGGGUGGGUUGACGGUAGCUGGAGAAGAAGCGCCGGCUAACUACGUG